GCCCUUGCGGAUCGCGGCCGCUGCAGAGUUUGAUCCUGGCUCAGAAUCAACGCUGGCGGCGCGCCUAACACAUGCAAGUCGAACGAGAAAGGGGAGCAAUCCCUGAGUAAAGUGGCGUACGGGUGAGUAACACGUGGGUAAUCUGCCCUCUGGUGGGGAAUAACCCUGGGAAACCGGGGCUAAUACCGCAUAAGUCCGGAAGGAGAAAGCAGCAAUGCGCCGGAGGAGGAGCCCGCGGCCGAUUAGCUUGUUGGCGGGGUAACGGCCCACCAAGGCGAUGAUCGGUAGCCGGCCUGAGAGGGCACACGGCCACACUGGCACUGAAACACGGGCCAGACUCCUACGGGAGGCAGCAGUGGGGAAUCUUGCACAAUGGGGGAAACCCUGAUGCAGCGACGCCGCGUGAGCGAUGAAGCCCUUCGGGGUGUAAAGCUCUUUCGGCGGGAACGAUCAUGACGGUACCCGCAGAAGAAGCUGCGGCUAACUACGUGCCAGCAGCCGCGGUAAUACGUAGGCAGCAAGCGUUGUUCGGAGUUACUGGGCGUAAAGAGUGUGUAGGCGGCUCUCUAAGUUCGGUGUGAAAUCUCCCGGCUCAACCGGGAGGGUGCGCCGGAAACUGGGGGGCUUGAGUGUGGGAGAGGAAAGCGGAAUUCCUGGUGUAGCGGUGAAAUGCGUAGAUAUCAGGAGGAACACCGGUGGUGUAGACGGCUUUCUGGACCAUUACUGACGCUGAGACACGAAAGCGUGGGGAGCAAACAGGAUUAGAUACCCUGGUAGUCCACGCCCUAAACGAUGCGCACUUGGUGUGAGCCAUUCAGUUGGUUCGUGCCGGAGCUAACGCGUUAAGUGCGCCGCCUGGGGAGUACGGUCGCAAGGCUGAACUCAAGGAAUUGANGGGGCCCGCACAAGCGGUGGAGCAUGUGGUUCAUUCGACGCACGCGAGAACCUUACCUG
rnacentral:rRNA from 1 species